GGUUCCAUAGUGUAGUUGGUCAUCACACAAGACUCUGAAUCUUGAGACCCGAGUUCGAAUCUCGGUGGGACCU
rfam:Batrachochytrium dendrobatidis JAM81 unplaced genomic scaffold BATDEscaffold_3, whole genome shotgun sequence.